rnacentral:rRNA from 1 species
GCACAAGCGGUGGAGCAUGUGGUUUAAUUCGACGCAACGCGAAGAACCUUACCUGGGCUCGAAAUGUAGUGGACCGGGGUAGAAAUAUCCCUUCCCAGCAAUGGGCUGCUAUAUAGGUGCUGCAUGGCUGUCGUCAGCUCGUGUCGUGAGAUGUUGGGUUAAGUCCCGCAACGAGCGCAACCCUUAUUACCAGUUGCCAUCAUUUAGUUGGGCACUCUGGUGAGACCGCCUCGGAUAACGGGGAGGAAGGCGGGGAUGACGUCAAGUCCUCAUGGCCUUUAUGUCCAGGGCUACACACGUGCUACAAUGGCCGGUACAAACCGUCGCAAACCCGUGAGGGGGAGCUAAUCGGAAAAAGCCGGCCUCAGUUCGGAUUGGAGUCUGCAACUCGACUCCAUGAAGCUGGAAUCGCUAGUAAUCGCAGAUCAGAACGCUGCGGUGAAUACGUUCCCGGGC